AAGUCUAGGGAAAGGUGUGUCAGGGUGCACAGGAUCAAAGUAUUCGUAUGGCUAGAUGUCACUAGGGGGUCAGAGGUUAGGAAGUAACUGGAUUUAGAAGCAGAAGGCCAAGAAUCACCCUGGUUAGGUCACCUGGAAAAGGGUCAUUUGUGUUAAUGUGUGCUAAUAGCUGCCAACAUUUUUACAGCAUUUGCUCUGUGUCAGGUAUUAUGCAAAGUACUUGCUCUACAUCUCAUUUGAUCUUCACAACAACCCAGGGAGGCCACACCUGCAUACCGAACAUCACAGAUCCGCAUCCGUGGAGACGUCACAAACAAACCAAUGAACACGCAGCAGGGAUGAGGGUCUGGUCCUCGAGUUUCCCAAAGUCACAAAGGACACCAACCAGGGUAGGAAUGGUGACCCACCUUCUAGGCUCCACCUCCACCAUUGCCACUAUGGACUCCGAGGGACCCACAGACAGCAAAGGGCAAGGUGUUAAGAACUUUCCUGGAAGCAUGGAGAUGGCCCAAAACAAGAGGAGUUGUAAAUGCAUUUUGAAAAGAGGGAGGGAACCCCAAGCUCUGACUACUGAUGGAAAAGACAGACACUGGGGCCAGGGGGUA